GAGGGGUGCAAGCGUUAUUCGGAAUCAUUGGGGCGUAAAGGGGUGUGUAGACGGCAUAUUAAGUCAGCUGUUAAAUCUUCCGGGCCUAACCGGGAAAUCUGCGGUCGAUACUGAUGUGCUAGAGGAUGGAAGAGAGAAGUGGAAUUCUCGGAGUAGCGGUAAAAUGCGUAGAUCUCGAGAGGAACACCAAUGGCGAAGGCAGCUUCUUGGUCCAUUCCUGACGUUGAGACACGAAAGCGUGGGGAGCAAACAGGAUUAGACACCCUGGUAGUCCACGCUGUAAACGAUGAUCACUGGACGUCAGUUCUGUUUUACAGAAUUGGUGUCGUAGCUAACGCGCUAAGUGAUCCGCCUGGGGACUACGGUCGCAAGAUUA
rnacentral:rRNA from 1 species